UACGGAGGAUGCGAGCGUUAUCCGGAUUUAUUGGGUUUAAAGGGUGAGUAGGCGGGCUUUUAAGUCAGCGGUAAAAAUUCGGGGCUCAACCCCGUCCGGCCGUUGAAACUGGGGGCCUUGAGUGGGCGAGAAGAAGGCGGAAUGCGUGGUGUAGCGGUGAAAUGCAUAGAUAUCACGCAGAACCCCGAUUGCGAAGGCAGCCUUCCGGCGCCCUACUGACGCUGAGGCACGAAAGUGCGGGGAUCGAACAGG
rnacentral:rRNA from 1 species